AAAUAAAAAAAGACCGAACACGAUUCCUGUAUUCGGUCCAGGGAAAUGGCUCUCAAGGAGCCGUGCGCUAAAAGUUGGCAUUGAUAGAGGCUCUCGCCUUGCUAAUAAAGCGUAGGACAACCCUGUAGAUUUUCCAGCCA
rnacentral:sRNA from 1 species